AGCUCUUUUCAUAAUCCAGUGCCCCCAUAGGAUGAAACUACAAGAAAGUUAUAUGAAAUGCUGUCAUCUACCUGUGAACUGCACUGUGAAGAACGGUCUGUGUCAAGACUUGUGUUUCAGAAAUUCUUCCAUGUCAUGCAACAUGCCUGGCGAGUCCCUUGAAACUCAAGGUCCACUCCCCCUCCAUUUUCCUGCAGAAAGGAACGGGUAUUCAACAGAGAACAACCAAGGAAGACAAAACAAAAUAGACUAAGACAAAGCAAAAGCCCUCAUAUUGAGGCUAGGCAAGGCAAGGCAACCAAAUAGCAGGCAAGAGUC
rnacentral:lncRNA from 1 species